rnacentral:rRNA from 1 species
UGUGACAUACCUCGCGUUGCCUCGGCAGGUGGCGUCUCGCCCCGUAAGAACCUACCCUGUAGGAACGUACCCGGUAGACGACCCUGCCGACGGCCCCCGAAACUCUGUUUUAUAGCAUUAAACUUCUGAAAACAUAACUAAAUAAGUUAAAACUUUCAACAACGGAUCUCUUGGUUCUGGCAUCGAUGAAGAACGCAGCGAAAUGCGAUAAGUAAUGUGAAUUGCAGAAUUCAGUGAAUCAUCGAAUCUUUGAACGCACAUUGCGCCCACUAGUAUUCUGGUGGGCAUGCCUGUUCGAGCGUCAUUUCAACCCUUAAGCCCCUGUUGCUUAGCGUUAGGAGCCUACCGGAACUCUCUGGUAGCUCCCCAAAGUCAGUGGCGGAGCCGGUUCGCACUCCAGACGUAGUAGCUUUUACACGUCGCCUGUAGCGCGGGCCGGUCCCCUGCCGUAAAACACCCCAAUUUUUAUAGGUUGACCUCGGAUCAGGUAGGAAUACCCGCUGAACUUAAGCAUAUCAAUAAGCGGAGG